GACUUGAUAGCGGAUGGUCAGCGCCUGCUUGCUGUGUCAAUAAGCUGGUACGCAUGCAGGAGUGCCGGUUCGAUUCCGGGUCAAGUCA